rnacentral:rRNA from 1 species
UACGAAGGGUGCAAGCGUUGCUCGGAAUUAUUGGGCGUAAAGGGUAGGUAGGUUGUCUUGUUUGUCUAAGGUGAAAUCCCAUGGCUUAACCGUGGAAGUGCCUUAGAAACGGCAAGACUAGAGUCCUAGAGGGGUUUGUGGAAUUCCCGGUGUAGCGGUGAAAUGCGUAGAGAUCCGGGAAGAACACCGGUGGCGAAGGCGGCUGCUGGUAGUGCGACACUG